rnacentral:rRNA from 1 species
UACAGAGGGUGCGAGCGUUAAUCGGAAUUACUGGGCGUAAAGCGCACGUAGGCGGCUUGGUAUGUCGGGUGUGAAAUCCCCGGGCUCAACCUGGGAACUGCAUCCGAAACUGCCUUGCUAGAGUAUGGGAGAGGGAAGUGGAAUUUCCGGUGUAGCGGUGAAAUGCGUAGAUAUCGGAAGGAACAUCAGUGGCGAAGGCGGCCCCCUGGGCCGCACCUGACGCUGAGACGCGAAGGCGUGGGGAGCGAACGGG